rnacentral:rRNA from 2 species
UUGAGCUUGAUCCUGGCUCAGAUUGAACGCUGGCGGCAGGCCUAACACAUGCAAGUCGAGCGGAAACGAUGGAAGCUUGCUUCCAGGCGUCGAGCGGCGGACGGGUGAGUAAUGCAUGGGAAUCUGCCCGAUAGUGGGGGAUAACCUGGGGAAACCCAGGCUAAUACCGCAUACGUCCUACGGGAGAAAGCAGGGGAUCUUCGGACCUUGCGCUAUCGGAUGAGCCCAUGUCGGAUUAGCUUGUUGGUGAGGUAAUGGCUCACCAAGGCGACGAUCCGUAGCUGGUCUGAGAGGAUGAUCAGCCACAUCGGGACUGAGACACGGCCCGAACUCCUACGGGAGGCAGCAGUGGGGAAUAUUGGACAAUGGGCGAAAGCCUGAUCCAGCCAUGCCGCGUGUGUGAAGAAGGCCCUCGGGUUGUAAAGCACUUUCAGUGGGGAAGAAAGCCUUGGGAUUAAUACUCCCGAGGAAGGACUCACCCCA